rnacentral:rRNA from 1 species
CACGUAGGGCGCAAGCGUUGUCCGGAAUCAUUGGGCGUAAAGAGCGUGUAGGCGGCCAGAUAAGUCCGCUGUGAAAUCUCGAGGCUCAACUUCGAGCUGUCGGUGGAAACUGUCUGGCUAGAGUCCGGAAGAGGAGAAUGGAAUUCCUGGUGUAGCGGUGAAAUGCGCAGAUAUCAGGAAGAACACCCGUGGCGAAGGCGGUUCUCUGGGACGGUACUGACGCUGAGACGCGAAAGCGUGGGGAGCGAACAGG